rnacentral:lncRNA from 1 species
UCUAAUUUAUAAUAUAAAAAAUUCGUAAGGGUUCCACGGAACCCGGUGUCUCGCCUACUUUUUCUGUUAAUCGCAGACUCAACAAAAAUGAGGAAAAACAUCAAUAAAAAUUUCCCUCACGAUACUGUCUUUUGAUUGAAAGAAGCUUCCAAGUUUGGUAAAAAAAUCCAGGAUAGUUUAUGAAUCUAAUAAAUGUUUUAUAAACUUUAACUGCAGACUGUAUGUAAUGUUAACUGGAAGAAAAACUAAGUCCAUUUAUAAGUAAAAUACGGAAA